rnacentral:rRNA from 1 species
ACCGGGAUUGCCCUAGUAACGGCGAGUGAAGCGGCAAGAGCUCAAAUUUGAAAGCUGGCCCCCUCGGGGUCCGCAUUGUAAUUUGUAGAGGAUGCUUCGGGAGCGGUCCCCAUCUAAGUGCCCUGGAACGGGCCGUCAUAGAGGGUGAGAAUCCCGUAUGGGAUGGGGUGCCCGCGCCCGUGUGAAGCUCCUUCGACGAGUCGAGUUGUUUGGGAAUGCAGCUCUAAUUGGGUGGUAAAUUUCAUCUAAAGCUAAAUAUUGGCCGGAGACCGAUAGCGCACAAGUAGAGUGAUCGAAAGAUGAAAAGCACUUUGAAAAGAGAGUUAAACAGCACGUGAAAUUGUUGAAAGGGAAGCGCUUGCGAUCAGACUCGCUCGCGGGGUUCAGCCGGCCUUCGGGCCGGUGUACUUCCCCGCGGGCGGGCCAGCGUCGGUUUGGGCGGCCGGUCAAAGGCCCCUGGAAUGUAACGCCUCUCGGGGCGUCUUAUAGCCAGGGGUGCCAUGCGGCCUGCCCGGACCGAGGAACGCGCUUCGGCUCGGACGCUGGCAUAAUGGUCGUAAGCGACCCGUCUUGAAACACGGACCAAGGAGUCUAACAUCUACGCGAGUGUUCGGGUGUCAAACCCGUGCGCGCAGUGAAAGCGAACGGAGGUGGGAACCCCUCGGGGUGCACCAUCGACCGAUCCUGAUGUCUUCGGAUGGAUUUGAGUAAGAGCGUAGCUGUUGGGACCCGAAAGAUGGUGAACUAUGCCUGAAUAGGGCGAAGCCAGAGGAAACUCUGGUGGAGGCUCGCAGCGGUUCUGACGUGCAAAUCGAUCGUCAAAUUUGGGUAUAGGGGC